GACGAACGCUGGCGGCGUGCUUAACACAUGCAAGUCGAACGGAAAGGCCCUGCUUUUGUGGGGUGCUCGAGUGGCGCACGGGUGAGUAACACGUGAGUAACCUGCCCUUGACUUUGGGAUAACUUCAGGAAACUGGGGCUAAUAUCGGAUAGGAUCUCCUGCUGUAUGGUGUGGGUUGGAAAGUGUCGGCGGUAGGGGAUGGACUCGCGGCUUAUCAGCUUGUUGGUGGGGUAGUGGCUUACCAAGGCUUUGACGGAUAGCCGGCCUGAGAGGGGGACCGGGCACAUGGGGACUGAGGGACGGCCCAGACGCCUACGGGAGGCAGCAGUGGGGAAUAUUGCACAAUGGGCGGAAGCCUGAUGCAGAAACGCCGCGUGCGGGAUGACGGGCUUCGGGUUGUAAACCGCUUUCGCCUGUGACGAAGCGGGAGUGACGGUAAUGGGUAAAGAAGCACCGGCUAACUACGUG
rnacentral:rRNA from 1 species